rnacentral:rRNA from 1 species
AUUGAACGCUGGCGGCAUGCCUUACACAUGCAAGUCGAACGGCAGCACGGGAGCUUGCUCCUGGUGGCGAGUGGCGAACGGGUGAGUAAUACAUCGGAACGUACCCUGAAGUGGGGGAUAACGUAGCGAAAGUUACGCUAAUACCGCAUAUUCUGUGAGCAGGAAAGAGGGGGAGUCGCAAGACCUCUUGCUUUAGGAGCGGCCGAUGUCGGAUUAGCUAGUUGGUGAGGUAAAGGCUCACCAAGGCGACGAUCCGUAGCGGGUCUGAGAGGAUGAUCCGCCACACUGGGACUGAGACACGGCCCAGACUCCUACGGGAGGCAGCAGUGGGGGAAUUUUGGACAAUGGGCGCAAGCCUGAUCCAGCCAUGCCGCGUGAGUGAAGAAGG